CCUACGGGAGGCAGCAGUGAGGAAUAUUGGUCAAUGGUCGGGAGACUGAACCAGCCAAGCCGCGUGAGGGAGGAAGGUACAGAGUAUCGUAAACCUCUUUUGUCAGGGAACAAAGGCGGGGACGUGUCCCCGGAUGAGUGUACCUGAAGAAAAAGCAUCGGCUAACUCCGUGCCAGCAGCCGCGGUAAUACGGAGGAUGCGAGCGUUAUCCGGAUUUAUUGGGUUUAAAGGGAGCGUAGAUGGGUUGUUAAGUCAGUUGUGAAAGUUUGGGGCUCAACCGUAAAAUUGCAAUUGAUACUGGGAGCCUUGAGUACAGUUGAGGUAGGCGGAAUUCGUGGUGUAGCGGUGAAAUGCUUAGAUAUCACGAAGAACCCCGAUUGCGAAGGCAGCUUGCUGCAGCGGAACUGACGCUGAUGCUCGAAAGCGCGGGUAUCGAACAGGAUUAGAUACCCUUGUAGUC
rnacentral:rRNA from 1 species